GUGCCAGCAGCCGCGGUAAGACGGAGGGUGCUAGCGUUGUUCGGAAUGACUGGGCGUAAAGGGCGCGUAGGCGGCCGCUUGCGUCGGAUGUGAAAGCCCGGGGCUCAACCCCGGAACGGCAUCCGAUACGGGGCGGCUCGAGACCGAGAGAGGUGAGUGGAAUACCCAGUGUAGAGGUGAAAUUCGUAGAUAUUGGGUGGAACACCGGUGGCGAAAGCGGCUCACUGGCUCGGUUCUGACGCUGAGGCGCGAAAGCGUGGGGAGCAAACAGGAUUAGAUACCCCCGUAGUCC
rnacentral:rRNA from 1 species